CAGCAGCCACGGUAAUACGUAGGUCCCGAGCGUUGUCCGGAUUUAUUGGGCGUAGAGCGAGCGCAGGCGGUUAGAUAAGUCUGAAGUUAAAGGCUGUGGCUUAACCAUAGUAUGCUUUGGAAACUGUUUAACUUGAGUGCAGAAGGGGAGAGUGGAAUUCCAUGUGUAGCGGUGAAAUGCGUAGAUAUAUGGAGGAACACCGGUGGCGAAAGCGGCUCUCUGGUCUGUAACUGACGCUGAGGCUCGAAAGCGUGGGGAGCAAACAGGAUUAGAUACCCCCGUAGUCCCUGUCUCUUAUACA
rnacentral:rRNA from 1 species